UCCGGUAUGGUGUAACGGCUAACAUUGCCGCCUUUCAUUCAUUCGAAGGGCCGCGGCAGCUCGGGGUUCGAUUCCCCGUACCGGAA